rnacentral:rRNA from 1 species
CCUACGGGUGGCAGCAGUGAGGAAUAUUGGUCAAUGGGCGAGAGCCUGAACCAGCCAAGUCGCGUGAAGGAUGACGGCCCUACGGGUUGUAAACUUCUUUUGUCAGGGAGCAAUUGGGUCCACGCGUGGGCUUAGCGAGAGUACCUGAAGAAAACGCAUCGGCUAACUCCGUGCCAGCAGCCGCGGUAAUACGGAGGAUGCGAGCGUUAUCCGGAUUUAUUGGGUGUAAAGGGUGCGUAGAUGGCAUAGUAAGUCUUUUGUAAAAAUGCUGGGCUCAACCCAGUAGGGCAAAAGAUACUGCAAAGCUAGAGUAUGACAGAGGAAAGUGGAACUACAUGUGUAGCGGUAAAAUGCGUAAAUAUAUGUAAGAACACCAGUGGCGAAGGCGGCUUGCUGGGUCGAUACUGACAUUGAGGCACGAAAGCGUGGGGAGCAAACAGGAUUAGAUACCCGAGUAGUC